rnacentral:lncRNA from 1 species
CUGCCUGAAUCUACCAGCCAGCGAAUGACAACUGACUGAGUAUAAAUACUAGGACUACAGAACCGUGAUAAAAGGAGUCUCCUGCCCCUGGCCAGGGAGAGCCACAGGCUGGAUGACAUCUGGUUUAUAGUGAGGGGCAGCAGCAACUCCAAGAGGGGGAAGAUGUGACCAUGAGCCCCGCCCCAGACCCAGGAGGCUUGACCUUGGGGCUGCCGUAGCAGUGGAUGCUCUUCAGCUGAAUGACCUAUCCUGGGCCCGUGACCCUGGACUUCAGCCAGAUCAGCAUCUCAAGGUACAACCAACAUCUUGGCUCCAUGAUGGGUCAAAACAGUUAACACAGCCAAGGUAUUCAAGGUAUCAGUAGCUACUGACUAUGUCCUGGCCAGC